rnacentral:rRNA from 1 species
GGUUUAAGGGGAUGAAUUAAUAGGAUAGGAUUAAUAAAAGAAUUUAAAGUUGUAGUAAGGUAUACUGGGAUAAUAAUUUAAAGGAAGUACCGUGAGGGGCACUUGAGAGAAACUUAAACCAGGAAGAAGAAGUAAUCUUAUGUACCUUUUGUAUCAGGGUUUAUCAAAUAAGAAGGAGAAUAUCUAAAUCUCGGUAUAAAGAGGGCUAACCGAAUAAUUUGGUUAAAGUGGCAAAUUUAUUUAUUAUGUUUGGUUAGGGGUGAAAUGCUAAUCGAGCUUUAAGGUAUCUAGUUUUUCAAGAAAUGAAUUUAAUUCAGGUAUCGUGUGUGGGGCUUUAUAAGGAGGUGUUAAGCAACGUGUUAUUAAAAUUUUAGGGGAUAAGCUCUAAUUUAUUUUAUAAAUGAAAAAUUCACGCAAGGAGGUAGGCCUAAAAGUAGCCACCAUAAGGAUAUUAUAAUUUAUCUUUGGGUAUGAGAAUUUUCUGGUUUUAAAUAGCUAUUGAAACAAUUUUGUAAAUGGAAAUCAAAAUGGGAUAAUGAUAAAAUUAGUAUUUGGGGAAAUUUUUAUUAAGGAAUUCGGCAAAUUUGUGCUCGCCUGUUUAUCAAAAACAUCGCCUUUGGAAAGAAUAUAAGGUCUUACCUGCCCACUGAUAGAUUUAAGGGCCGCGGUAUUUUGACCGUGCAAAGGUAGCAUAAUCAUUAGUCUCUUAAUUAGGGACUGGGAUGAAAGGUAGGACGAGGUACAAACUGUCUCCAUGGGAUAAGAGAAGUUAACUUUUUAGUUAAAAGGCUAAAAUGAAAUUAGAGGACGAGAAGACCCUAUAGAACUUUAUAAAUUAGAGUUAAGUUUUUAGAAAAUGUUUUACUUAGACUUAAGCUUUAUUACGUUGGGGUGAUGGGGUAAUAAAUUAACUUACCUUGAAAUUAACACGAUAGAUGAAUACGGGAUCCAUAUAUAAUGAUUAAAAGAUUAAGUUACCUUAGGGAUAACAGCGUAAUCCUUUUUGAGAGUUCAUAUCGAUAAGAGGGGUUGCGACCUCGAUGUUGGAUUAAAGGUAAUUUCAGGUGCAGCCGCUUGAAGUUGGGGUCUGUUCGACCCUUAAAACUUUACAUGAUCUGAGUUCAGACCGGCGCAAGCCAGGUCGGUUUCUAUCCUUAAUAAGAAGGAUAUUUUAGUACGAAAGGACCAAAUAUCGGAGAUAACUCUUUAUUAUAAGAAUAUU